UACGAAGGGGGCGAGCGUUGUUCGGAUUUACUGGGCGUAAAGGGCGCGCAGGCGGCCAUUCAAGUCAGGCGUGAAAGCCCCGGGCUUAACCUGGGAGGUGCGCUUGGGACUGGGUGGCUAGAGUCCGGAAGGGGCGAGUGGAAUUCCUGGUGUAGCGGUGAAAUGCGCAGAUAUCAGGAGGAACACCAAUGGCGAAGGCAGCUCGCUGGGGACGUGACUGACGCUGAGACGCGAAAAGCGUGGGGGAGCAAAACAGGG
rnacentral:rRNA from 1 species